ACUGUUGCCUCGGCGGGAUCUCUGCCCCGGGUGCGUCGCAGCCCCGGUACCAAGGCGCCCGCCGGAGGACCAACCAAAACUCUUAUUGUAUACCCCCUCGCGGGUUUUUUUUAUAAUCUGAGCCUUCUCGGCGCCUCUCGUAGGCGUUUCGAAAAUGAAUCAAAACUUUCAACAACGGAUCUCUUGGUUCUGGMAUCGAUGAAGAACGCAGCGAAAUGCGAUAAGUAAUGUGAAUUGCAGAAUUCAGUGAAUCAUCGAAUCUUUGAACGCACAUUGCGCCCGCCAGUAUUCUGGCGGGCAUGCCUGUCCGAGCGUCAUUUCAACCCUCGAACCCCUCCGGGGGGUCGGCGUUGGRGAUCGGCCCUMCCUUAGCGRGUGGCCGUCUCCGAAAUACAGAUGGCGGUCUCGCCGCAGUCCUCUCCUGCGGCAGUAUUUUGCACACUCGCAUCGGGAGCGCGGCGCGUCCACAGCCGUUAAACACC
rnacentral:rRNA from 1 species